GAUAAUGGACUGAAACUCUGAACCUGUUACCACACCAGUAGCUGGAUUUUUGAAAGACCAAUCUGAGUCCUUGAACUCAUUGAAAUCUACAGUAGAAUUCCAACUUGAGUUCGGACUGACCCUGACUGUCUGUCUCACCACCACUACCACCAGCAACAGCAUCACAUCUGAGAUCUGCAUCCUUGAAGAGACCAUAUUUUGAGGAUCAUGGCACUGACAAGUACCAUGCUCUUUUGAAUCGAUUAUGCCCACUCACAGAAGAUGUGAAAGCCUACCAGUGAUAUUCACAACCGAAAGAAAUACCAGGUAGCUCUGCCUGGUUUACCCACACUCCCCUUCUACCCUGUUUGUACCCCAAGAUAAUUUUCGUCCCAACUCAGACCUUCACUUUCUCUUAACUCUUCCCCCUU